CCGAGUUUACAACUCCCAAACCCAAUGUGAACGUUACCAAAUCUGUUGCCUCGGCGGGAUCUCUGCCCCGGGUGCGUCGCAGCCCCGGACCAAGGCGCCCGCCGGAGGACCAACCAAAACUCUUAUUGUAUACCCCCUCGCGGGUUUUUUUUAUAUCUGAGCCUUCUCGGCGCCUCUCGUAGGCGUUUCGAAAAUGAAUCA
rnacentral:misc_RNA from 1 species